rnacentral:sRNA from 15 species
AUGGACUACGUGUCCAUUCCGGUUCCUGAGCUCCAGCCGCCCCUCGCUGACGACCGCUCGUUACACUUUGAGAGCC